rnacentral:rRNA from 1 species
UGUGUAGGUGGCGCCGUAAGUCGGGUGUGAAAUUUCGGAGCUUAACUCCGAAACUGCAUUCGAUACUGCGGUGCUUGAGGACUGGAGAGGAGACUGGAAUUCAUGGUGUAGCAGUGAAAUGCGUAGAGAUCAUGGGGAAGACCAGUGGCGAAGGCGGGUCUCUGGACAGUUCCUGACACUGAGACACGAAGGCCAGGGGAGCAAACG